rnacentral:SRP_RNA from 1 species
CGCAGGGUCCCGUUCGAGUUCGGGAUCCUGUGAACCCGGUCAGAUCCGGAAGGAAGCAGCCGCAGCAGGGACUUGGCUGCGAUCGGAUAAGCCCUGCGGUC